rnacentral:lncRNA from 1 species
CCUACUUGGGCCUGCUCUAUUAAUUAGGAAGCGCCGGAAGACAAUGGUGGAUUAUGUUGGUGGUGGCAGCAGCCGUGCACGUCGCCAUGCCGUGCACAUCCAUUUGGGUUUUCCUUUAGCUGUCCCGUCCGUGUGACAUGAUCGACAAUGUGUGCCGGCAGGACAGGAACGAGGCGCCGAUCGAGAGCUGUAGCCCUUUGUGGCGAGCACGUCCGCCGUCGAUCUCGG